UACGUAGGGUGCAAGCGUUAAUCGGAAUUACUGGGCGUAAAGCGUGCGCAGGCGGUCUUGCAAGUCAGAUGUGAAAUCCCCGGGCUCAACCUGGGAACUGCAUUUGUGACUGCAAGGCUGGAGUGCGGCAGAGGGGGAUGGAAUUCCGCGUGUAGCGAUGAAAUGCGUAGAUAUGCGGAGGAACACCGAUGGCGAAGGCAAUCCCCUGGGCCUGCACUGACGCUGAUGCGCGAAAGCGUGGGGAGCAACCAGG
rnacentral:rRNA from 1 species